rnacentral:rRNA from 1 species
UACGUAGGGUGCAAGCGUUAAUCGGAAUUACUGGGCGUAAAGCGUGCGCAGGCGGCUAUGCAAGACAGAUGUGAAAUCCCCGGGCUCAACCUGGGAACUGCAUUUGUGACUGCAUGGCUAGAGUACGGUAGAGGGGGAUGGAAUUCCGCGUGUAGCAGUGAAAUGCGUAGGUAUGCGGAGGAACACCGAUGGCGAAGGCAAUCCCCUGGACCUGUACUGACGCUCAUGCACGAAAGCGUGGGGAGCAAACAGG